UACGGAGGAUCCAAGCGUUAUCCGGAAUCAUUGGGUUUAAAGGGUCCGUAGGCGGUUUGGUAAGUCAGUGGUGAAAGCCCGCAGCUCAACUGUGGAACGGCCAUUGAUACUGCCAGACUUGAAUUACAAGGAAGUAACUAGAAUAUGUAGUGUAGCGGUGAAAUGCUUAGAUAUUACAUGGAAUACCAAUUGCGAAGGCAGGUUACUACUUGUGGAUUGACGCUGAUGGACGAAAGCGUGGGGAGCGAACAGGAUUAGAUACCCUGGUAGUCCACGCCGUAAACGAUGGAUACUAGCUGUUGGGGGCAACUUCAGUGGCUAAGCGAAAGUGAUAAGUAUCCCACCUGGGGAGUACGUUCGCAAGAAUGAA
rnacentral:rRNA from 1 species